GAUGAAGAACGUAGCGAAAUGCGAUAAGUAGUGUGAAUUGCAGAAUUCAGUGAAUCAUCGAAUCUUUGAACGCACAUUGCGCCCCUUGGUAUUCCAUGGGGCAUGCCUGUUCGAGCGUCAUUACAACCCUCAAGCUCAGCUUGGUGUUGGGCCCCGCCGCCCCGGCGGGCCCUAAAGUCAGUGGCGGUGCCGUCCGGCUCCGAGCGUAGUAAUUCUUCUCGCUCUGGAGGUCCGGUCGUGUGCUCGCCAGCAACCCCCAAUUUUUUUCAGGUUGACCUCGGAUCAGGUAGGGAUACCCGCUGAACUUAAGCAUAUCAAUAAGCGGAGGA
rnacentral:misc_RNA from 1 species